CAAUCGUGCAUAUACUAGUUCAUGGUUGGGUGUUUAUAACAAUUUAAAAGAAAGCGUGAUCAAAACAAAAAUAAAUUUUGAUCAUUUGUUUAAUGAAUGGUAUAUUCUUUGACAAUUUACAUUCAUUUAUAUUUCACAGAGAGAAAAAAAUGGUUAAUGGCGAUCUCUCUAAGAGUAUAGUCUAUCUCCUUAAACAAUGGAUGUUUAAAAGAGCAGACGACAGGAGGUAUAAAUUUAACUGAACUACAUAUAAAAUCUCCGUUCAAAAACAAUUGAAAACGACAAUUUUGUAUUUAUUGUGCUUUCAUUUAACGUAAACAAAAACCCAAAUGAAACGCAAAAACAAUGCUAAACUCAAUACAUGUUUCUUUUUAUUCUUAAUAUAAAAAAGUGUCACAAAUCCUCUAAAUUAGUGACGAAAUCUAAACGUAAAUUUGUACAGCACAGUUCCUAAUUAUGUUUGUCCAACUGAUCGUCAAAGAUAUGUUCGCUUUAUGUUUCAGAUAGUACAUUAUUCAAAAUCUUGAAUAAAUCAUAACUGUAUUGCGUGUAAUGUAUUGACGGAGGAGGGAGGGGUAAUUCAAAUUCCUGCAAAACUAACGACAAGUUAACCAAGUACGAUACAGGCAACACUACAGCAAAGUGAAUGCAAACCAGUAGUUGUUCCGGAGUUGAAAGAAGGUCUCGGAAAUUACAGAGAAGAACGAAGAUAUUUGAUUUAUAUUUAAUUCCACGUUUUUAUUUACAGUUAAUUCAGAUAUAUAAAGCUCAUGCAACUGCUCAACAUAAUGUUUCAGACAAUGAAUUAACAAAACAAAAACUAUAGAAGCAUAAAUGCAUUGCUAGUCAUCUAUUUCAAUUUCUGCAAACCUUAAGUCAAAUACAAACAAGAUAAACCUGGCUUAACGUAGUAUUAGAAUAAAACACUAUUCAUCAACCAAAAUCAGGACAUUCUAAACAACAAGCACACCAAAACAAACCGUAAUAACAGCAUUAUUUUUUUCUUAAAAAUCAUAUAGAUUUAAAAAUAUAUUUAACCAGAUAGACUUACAAAAGUGCAAUUAUUCUAUUCAAUAAGCCCUUGGAUCUCUGUCACCUUAAAGUUGAAAACAGUAAAUUGUAAACUCAAUUGAAAACAAAACUGUAUUUUUAAUGCGGGAAUAACAAUUUUUUUUUAAUAGUGAAAUUAAAUAAUUCUCUUUGCUUUUCAAAUAUUUUUGCAGACAUGAUAUUUCUGUUAAUAUACAUUAAUUCAUUUUUAUCAGGGAACAAAAGGCGGAAAACGAAGGUUACAGUGAGUAUUCUAAAAUAAACUAAGACUUUUAAGAGAAGAUUUUUAAAACAGAAACUAUACUAACAUAAAAACACUUUAUAUUUUAAUUAAAACAAUAAUUAUGCGUAACACAAAACCAAAAUAAACCAAACAAGCACUUUAAAUAAAGCUAAUACUAACAAUGACCACUGCCCUUUUCUCGAUCUUGAUAUCUAUAUCACUAUGGAAAGCUGAAUACUAAAAAUUUAUGAUAAAAGUGAUGAUUUUUCAUUUCCUAUCGUUAAUUAUCCGUUUUUAGAUGGUGACGUUCCCUUGUCACCAUCUUACGGUGUUUAUAUAUCUCAACCUGGACGAUUCGCUCGUGUAUGUAACAAUAUUUUAGAUUUUAACGAGAGAAAUUUAUGUAUUACUGAAAAAUUAUUACACCAGGGUUUUCGAUAUCACAAACUAGUCAAAACAUUUACUAAAUUUUAUCAUCGGUAUAAAGACAUCAUUCGUAAAUAUAGCUCAAUAUGCAGAUUUCUAAUACGUUCAGGUAUUUCACAUCCAAUUUUUAAUGGAAAUAUUCUUUAUAAAGCACAAAGGUGUCAGUAUUCACCUCAGAAACUUACAAAACCUUUGAAUAGACUUAUUAAGAAGGGAUAUAUUACGAUACUGUGUCAAGUCAUUAAAGAUUGCAUAUUUUGCGUUCAUAUUGAGUCACUGAUAAGGUCUUUGCAUCGGAACUAAACACAUUUAUUCUAAAAACAGUUGUUGGCAUGACACGAGUUAUGUUCUUCUCAUAUAUGUUAUGAUGGUAUGAUACUAAACCCCUAAGGAAGGAUUGUGCCUGAUGUUCAUAUGAUGAAAUCAUAAUCUUUCAGUCAGUUUAAUUGAAGUCUGGAGCUGGCAUGUCAGUUAACUGCUAGUAGUCUGUUGCUAUUCAUGUAUUAUUGUCAUUUUGUUUAUUUUCUUUGGUUACAUCUUCUGACAUCAGACUCGACUUCUUGAACUGAAUUUUAAUGUACGUAUUGUAUCGUUUACUUUCUACAUUGCGUUAGAGGUAUAGGGGGAGGGUUGAGAUCUCACAAACAUGUUUAACCCCACCGCAUUUUUGCUCCUGUCCCAAGUCAGGAGCCUCUGUCCUUUGUUAGUCUUGUAUUAUUUUAAUUUUAGUUUCUUGUGUACAAUUUGGAAAUUAGUAUGGCGUUCAUUAUCACUGGACUCAGUAAUAUUUGUUUAGGGGCAGCUAAAGGACGACUCCGGGUCGGGAAUUUCUCGCUACAUUGAAGACCUUUGGUGACCCUCUGCUGUUGUUUUUUAUUUGGUCGGGUUGUUGUCUCUGUGACACAUUCCCCAUUUCCAUUCUCAAUUUUACUAUUGUACUCGAUGCAAGUAAAAUUGAGAAAGGAAAUGGGGAAUGUGUCAAAGCGACAGCAACCCUACCAUAGAGCAGACAAUAGCCGAAGGUAACCAAUUGGUUCUGAAUUUAGUGUGAAACUCCCGCACCCGGAGUCGUCCUUCAGCUGUACCCUAAACAAAUAUGCAUACUAGUUCAGUGAUAAUUGACGUCAUACUUAACUCCGAAUUAUACACAAGAAACUAAAAUUAAAAAUCAGACUAGACUAACAAAAGCCAGAGGCUCCUGACUUGGAACAGGCGCAAAAUUACGACGGGGAUAAACAUAAUUUUUGGUAUCUCAACCCUCCCCCUAUAUUAGAGUUUACUUAAGAAUAAGGAUGCAUCUCUAUAUAUUUUAAAGAUUUAGAAUAUCGACAAUACGAAAAUAACACUUUAUAAAUUCGACUAUCCCCUUUAUAAAUAAGAUUCUAAUCCGAUGUGUAUCUUUCGUAUUGUUGAAAUCUGUCCCGACAGCGUCCCGAAUCAAGCGAAAUGUGAUUCGACAGAGAUCUGACAAUGAGCUAUCGGAAGAUAUUCAUUUGAAAAUUUUUGCCAUGUUCGGGAUGAUCAGGUAAUGUCGGAACUCAAUCCUAUCACUAUCUGCUGCAUCGUGUUGGAAAUGGCUAGUUUAAAUCGCCUCUGGCGUAUUAAAUUCAAAUCCUAGAACCUCAGAUAACUAUUUAUACCACCGGGUCGAUACCACUACUAUGACUACUGGUUGACGUUUCGUCCCCGAGUUUAUCACUAGAGUCAGCACUUCGGUGUUGACAUGAAUAUCAAUUAUAUGGUCAUUUUAUACAUUUCCUGUUUACGAAAGUAAGAAUUUUUCAAAAUACUAAGGAUUUCUUAUUCCAGGCAUAGAUUACCUUAUCCGUAUUUGGCAAAACUUUCUGGAAUAUUGGAUCCCCAAUGCUCUUCAACUUUGUACUUGUUUUUUUUUAAAACUGGUUUGAUCUGAGCGUCACUGAUGAGUCUUAUGUAGACGACAUGCGCGUCCGGUGUAGUUGAAUAUAAGCCUGGUCCCUUUGAUAACUAUUGAAGUAAUGCUUUUGGUCAAUAAACAAGCCCAGGAUGAUAUAACUUUCCCUCCUAGCAAAUCUGACAAAGGAAGUAUUAACAUCACAUAUCAAGAAAAUGUUUCCUUUUAAAUUACUUGCAUACAUUUCAAAUACAUACAUUAUUAUUUCUCUAGAUUGUCGAAAGCUAUUUUCGUAGCUACAAAUUUGAACAUUAAAGUUUAAAUUUUUAGAUUUUCUGGUUUUUUUUUCAAUUUUUAUCUGUUACCUUAAAAUAUAAAUUAGACAGAUAAAACCUAAACUAAUUCCUUUCUUUCGUGAAAAUAUGAUCUAUUUGAUGUCAAACACAAUACAAAAAGAAAACAUUACACUAACCCAAUGCAAAUGUAUGUAUAUUUGACUGAUAAUGGCUUAAUACUUUUAAUCAAAGUAUUAUUUUGUUAAAUGUUUAUUAUCAUUUUUGUCGAAUACUUAUAUUCAAAGCAUAUCAGAUUGUUCCAAACUAUUUAUAAAAUGGCUUCAUUAAAAAAAAGCACUUUCAGAUUUUCCAAUGUUUAGAUUAUUCCAAAAUUUUUACUUCAUCAUUUUUUUGUAUAUUCAAAUACACUUUUAACAUAGCAUUUGAUGGUCGCAAUAUAUAAUUAAUGUAUUAGAGUUCAAUGAAACACAUAUUUGCGAUUUAACUGCAUGCGUAAAUAAAAGAAAACACCAUUGUCAUGUUCGUUGAUUUUAUACACAUAUAUGUUUGGAGUGUAGUAUUAUAUUCCAUUAAUCAGAAUUUUUUACAGUAGAAUUGAUCAAAGUGUUCUACAUACAUUUUUACGAUCCAACAGCACAGCAUUCAUUGAGGACAUCACAUUCAAUUAAAAUCAAGCUCAGG
rnacentral:lncRNA from 1 species